rnacentral:tRNA from 1 species
AUUUGGGUAGCUUAAAUUUAAAAGCAUAAUAUUGAAGAUAUUAUUAUGAAUUUUUAUUCCUCAAAUA